rnacentral:misc_RNA from 1 species
GAUGAAGAACGUAGCGAAAUGCGAUAAGUAAUGCGAAUUGCAGAAUCCGUGAGUCAUCGAAUCUUUGAACGCACAUUGCGCCCCUUGGUUAUUCCGAAGGGCAUGCCUGUUCGAGCGUCAUUAUCACCCCUCAAGCCCUGGCUUGGUGUUGGACUUUAGUUAUAGCUUUGCCUAUCAACUGGUCUCAAAGAUAGUGACGGCGCCCCAGAGGGAACCGGGUACGAGGAGCUUUUUACUAAGCAUGUAUCUGGGACGACUCUGGGCGACGGUCUUGUUAUACUUUUUACCUAAGUGUUGAACUCGGAUCAGGUAGGAAUACCCGCUGAACUUAAGCAUAUCAAUCAGCGGAGGA